rnacentral:rRNA from 1 species
AUUGAACGCUGGCGGCAUGCUUUACACAUGCAAGUCGAACGGUAACAGGUUAAGCUGACGAGUGGCGAACGGGUGAGUAAUGCAUCGGAACGUGCCCGGUCGUGGGGGAUAACACUUCGAAAGAAGUGCUAAUACCGCAUACGAUCUGAGGAUGAAAGCGGGGGACCGUAAGGCCUCGCGCGAUCGGAGCGGCCGAUGUCAGAUUAGGUAGUUGGUGGGGUAAAGGCUCACCAAGCCGACGAUCUGUAGCUGGUCUGAGAGGACGACCAGCCACACUGGGACUGAGACACGGCCCAGACUCCUACGGGAGGCAGCAGUGGGGAAUUUUGGACAAUGGGCGCAAGCCUGAUCCAGCAAUGCCGCGUGCAGGAAGAGGGCCUUCGGGUUGUAAACUGCUUUUGUACGGAGCGAAAAGGCUCUCUCUAAUACAGGGGGCUCAUGACGGUACCGUAAGAAUAAGCACCGGCUAACUACGUGCCAGCCGCCGCCGUAACAC